rnacentral:rRNA from 1 species
CCUACGGGAGGCAGCAGUGAGGAAUAUUGGUCAAUGGACGAGAGUCUGAACCAGCCAAGUAGCGUGAAGGAUGACUGCCCUAUGGGUUGUAAACUUCUUUUAUAUGGGAAUAAAAUGUUCCACGUGUGGGAUUUUGUAUGUACCAUAUGAAUAAGGAUCGGCUAACUCCGUGCCAGCAGCCGCGGUAAUACGGAGGAUCCGAGCGUUAUCCGGAUUUAUUGGGUUUAAAGGGAGCGUAGGUGGAUUGUUAAGUCAGUUGUGAAAGUUUGCGGCUCAACCGUAAAAUUGCAGUUGAAACUGGCAGUCUUGAGUACAGUAGAGGUGAGCGGAAUUCGUGGUGUAGCGGUGAAAUGCUGAGAUAUCACGAAGAACUCCGAUUGCGAAGGCAGUUCACUGGACUGCAACUGACACUGAGGCUCGAAAGUGUGGGUAUCAAACAGGAUUAGAUACCCGUGUAGUC